GGAUUACCUCAGUAACGGCGAGUGAAGCGGUAACAGCUCAAAUUUGAAAGCUAGCUCUUUUAGGGUUCGCAUUGUAAUUUGUAGAAGAUGCUUCGGGUGUGGCCCCGGUCUAAGUUCCUUGGAACAGGACGUCAUAGAGGGUGAGAAUCCCGUAUGUGACUGGGUGCUUUCGCUCAUGUGAAGCUCUUUCGACGAGUCGAGUUGUUUGGGAAUGCAGCUCAAAAUGGGUGGUAAAUUUCAUCUAAAGCUAAAUAUUGGCCAGAGACCGAUAGCGCACAAGUAGAGUGAUCGAAAGAUGAAAAGCACUUUGGAAAGAGAGUUAAACAGUACGUGAAAUUGUUGAAAGGGAAGCGCUUGCAACCAGACUUGCGCGCUGAUGAUCAUCCGGGCUUCUGCCCGGUGCACUCGUCUGCGCUCAGGCCAGCAUCGGUUUCGGUGGUGGGAUAAAGGCCUUGGGAAUGUGGCUCCUCUCGGGGAGUGUUAUAGCCCUCGGUGCAAUGCCGCCUACCGGGACCGAGGACCGCGCUUCGGCUAGGAUGCUGGCGUAAUGGUUGUAAGCGACCCGUCUUGAAACACGGACCAAGGAGUCUAACAUCUAUGCGAGUGUUUGGGUGUCAAACUCAUACGCGUAAUGAAAGUGAACGGAGGUGAGAACCCUUAAGGGUGCAUCAUCGACCGAUCCUGAUGUCUUCGGAUGGAUUUGAGUAAGAGCAUAGCUGUUGGGACCCGAAAGAUGGUGAACUAUGCGUGAAUAGGGUGAAGCCAGAGGAAACUCUGGUGGAGGCUCGCAGCGGUUCUGACGUGCAAAUCGAUCGUCAAAUUUGCGUAUAGGGGCGAAAGACUAAUCGAACCAU
rnacentral:rRNA from 1 species